UUUCCGUAGGUGAACCUGCGGAAGGAUCAUUAAAAAUGAAGCCGGGAAACCGGUCCUUCUAACCCUUGAUUGUCUUAAUUUGUUGCUUUGGUGGGCCGCGCAAGCACCGGCUUCGGCUGGAUCGUGCCCGCCAGAGGACACAACUCUGUAUCAAAUGUCGUCUGAGUACUAUAAAAUAGUUAAAACUUUCAACAACGGAUCUCUUGGUUCUG
rnacentral:misc_RNA from 1 species